ensembl:lncRNA
GUAUAUAUUUGCUGUAUGGAUAUCUUAACAGACUUGACCAACUUAACAGGUUGGUAGUGACUAUAAAGUAGUAUGUCAGAGAGACACAUUGAAAUAUAACUCUGAAAUUUUGCUUUAUUUGGGAGUAUUAGCAGUAUAAUCCAUGGUGAUGGGCUAUAUCUGUUUUGGGGAUGAGCAGGAACAGUGUGAGUCCCUGAAUGUCAAGGCACAGUUUUGAAGCCAUGGCCCAAAAGAGAAAGAGACAAUGUGUGAAGGAGAUAAAAGCUUUAAGAACUGUGCUGUGUGGCAUAACAUCUUUGGUCCUGUAUUUUGAGUGAUUGCUUCAAAAUGCCAAAAACUCUCCUUUGUCUAGAUAGGCAGUUUUUGUUGUGACCAACUGAAAGAAUUUCAGUAGACCUGCUUGGAAGGAAAACAAGGAGCAAAUGAGUGAAGCAUGGAAGGUACCCAUAUCCCAUUUGUUUCCCCAACUUACCCCCUAAAUGUGCACCUAGAUGCCUGGAAUUUUGGAUUACACAGUUAGAAAUAUUGAGAUAUAUAUUUUUGUAUGAUUCAGUUACAUAAACCUGUGUAGAAAAUCAAUGUAUAGCUAGCUUGUGAUGGUGCAUAACUUUAAUCCCAGCACUCAGGAAAUAGAGGAAGGGAUAUAUCUGGAAUUUAUGGUCCCAUUUAUAAAUCCCAUCUGGAAUUUAUGGUCCCAUUUAUAAAUCCCAUCUGGAAUUUAUAAAUCCCACAGAAAUACUAUCUGGAAAAUUCAAAAAGAAAGAAAAAAGAGAGAGACAGAGAGGAAGGAAAGAGAGAGGAGAGAGAGAGAGUUGAUGUAUGAUGAUACAACUUGAUCCCAGGAGUUUCCUGGAAAUCUUUGACCCACCAAAAUGUUUUCUACCAGGAAGAUGACAAGGAAAAGGUGUGAGAUUCCUGGAUAUGCAAUUUCCAAGGCCAUUUACUUUCUGAGGAGUUACAUUGUGGCAAUGCCUGGCCUCCACAUAUGUCUUCAACAAACCUUGAAAUGUACAUGGAUAGCCUCAUUGAAGCUAUCUUAUAUGUGGACUGCUUAAUAGGGACAUCUCUCUGUUUUUAUCUUUAUAGGCCAUGUGCAAAUUCCUGUCUCAUUCUUCUCUGCCUUGUCAACAUGGAGAAUGUACAACAUUUAACUGAGUUGACAUAUGAAGUCAAUGAGAGCUGAUGAGUUCAAAUAUUUGGAAUUCAGCAUUCCUUCCUCAUAUUUAAAACUUGAAGGCAACUGUGGAUGAGGGGAAGGGCCUCCCCUCUAUUUUCCAUCAUGGACCACAGUACCAGAGGAUUUCUCUUGGGUUUGGGUGAACCAGAUAAGAGAGAUAAUGUGUUAAAAUGUGAUGUUUUGGAGUUGUUUAAUCCAACAAGGAAUUCUUUGUCUUCAGUUGCUAACUAGUGAAUUAUGCUCAGUGGCAGGCAGACAGGUAUAGAGAAAUACAGAAAGAGAAAGAUACAUUUGAAGAGGCAGAAAAAGAGAAAACUAAGUGGGUCAUAUUGACUUAGAAUGUCUGUGACAUAUUGCUGCUAGAAUGUAAGAGAAAUGUAGAACAAAUGGCAUAUUAGAGUACAGUGGCCAAGAUGUUGGAUGACUCAGCCAGAAAUAUUGACUAAUGUACAUGGUUUACAAAAGGACAACAAAAGAUUGAAAGAAAGACAAAAAAAAGGUAACAAAAUUACUAAAGUGUGUUGGGACACUGUAAAGGUAACAGAUUCUACCAUACAUGAAAUAACUACAGGACAGAAAUAACUACUUAGUUCAUACAAGUCUUCCAGAGUCAGACAAUGGCUUGGGAACAUUUCCACUAAUCCUGCCCUGCUCCAGUAAUAGCAUGACUCCCCAACAAAAGGCUGGAUAUUUCCCAAACUCUGCUAGCAAAAACAACCUUGGUGAAAAUUUGAUAAUGUUUUGUGCUUGCUGAAAGUUCCACAUGAUAUUCAGGACUCAAAAUCCUGUGAGGCAUUGUGAUGGCUCCAAGGAGUGGCCCACAGCGAGACUGAAACAUAGCACUUGGAAAACGAAGAGCAGAUGUCAAAUGAAUUUGCCCUGCUCAAAGUGGAUGGGAGGAAUGAGGUGAGACUACUUCCAAGACUUCAAGUGAGUUGCAGUCUUUAAGUGUUGAUGAUGAGAGAGACAGUCAAAUCCAGAGUGCAGAGGAAUUUUCAUGGAUUCAAGGGUUUUCCGGGAUGAGGUCUCUUCAACAAGGUAACUUUGCACUACUAAGUGACACAGUGGAGAGAGAUUCUGGGAAGACAAUUUCAGAGAUAGGACUGAGAAUUUUUAGGUAGGCUGUUUGGUACUCUAGAGCAGAUUGUGAUAUAUACCGAGGGGCCUUUAUGGUGGCUAGUACCUGAAACAAUGUAAGAAAUGGUCUUUAGGUCCAAGGCAGUUUGAAGGUCACGACUGCCUCAGACCUCUGCCAAUUUGCAAUGGAGUACAGCCAAGUAAGUCUCUGGAACACUAAGAGGCAUUUCUGGUCAAUGAGAGCCUUGAGUGGGCAGCUUCUAUUAAAAGACCUAAGGCUCCUUGAGAAAACCCCUCAUGGGAGCUCUUGAGACAGGAAGCACGGAUGCAGGGUCCGUGACUCCACACCGGUCUGGGGGACUCUUGAGCAGUACGGUGUGUCCCCUGAAGACAGGUGGUCCGAGACUGGCAGCCAGUCAGAGAAAAAGGCACAGGAACGAAUGGUCGAGGACAGAGAAAGAGACGGGGCCAAACAGAGACAAAGCCAAAGCCAAAGAGACAGAGAUUGAGAAAGAAUGUCUGUUAGCCCUGCAAGGUCUUCCUUCCCUUCUCUAGAAGGCCUUAGAGGAAACUUUGGAGUCGUGUGACCUAAAGCACCUCAGGUCACUCUGGCAGGGGAGAGUGUGGUAGACCCCAGUAGCCUUGCCACAGAAAUAUAGAUGCCCAACUGGUUUUGAGAUGUUGAGGGAAGAGGAGGAUUUGGAGGACCUGGGAGAGGCAGACGAUGAGGAGGCAGAAGUAUGGUGAACAUGGCCGGAGCUGAUGCUAGCGAGCCUUGAGGUUGAGACAGCAAGGUGAGGUUGCACUGGGCAGUGACCCCAGAGGACAGUGGACAGUGUUUCAGGAGUGACGUUUAACCAGGUGGGCCUGAAAGUUCUUUUCCGGAACGGUGUGCUUGCUGCUGUAGAAGUCCCUGGUUGUGCUUUCCAGCCAGACAUUUGUUGCUUGACUGCAGGGUGGGGCAAACAUCCUGCACCAGGCGAAGGAGGAGCUCUCAUCCCCUAGGGGCGGCAACCCUCCAUGUGCUGGCAGGCCAUGCUGGAGGUU